ACACCAGUUAUAAAAAAAAAAUUUGAAACUCUCUGCAGAGAGGAAAGGACGGCUCCUCGGCUUUAGCCUCCGAUCACCGGGCCAUAUUCGCCUCACGGUCCUCACGCGCCACCGUUUGCGGUGGUCUGAAGGUUAAAAACCUUCGUCCUUCCACAGGUAUCACCAAGGAAUCCGACAGUGACCGUGCUUGUGUGGAUUCGUGCACUAAUUACGGAGGCAGAGUCACGGCACUGAUGGAGGGCAGCUGAAACAACAGGAGUUGAAAAGGCGCAACCCUUAGGUUGAUUGCGGCGCGAACCUUAGCUAGGGUUUCUCUGCUGCUGAGAAUAAGUUGGGCUAAUUGGGCCAUUUAAACAUUGGGUUAGUUUAGUAUAUCUGGGGUAGGGUAUAGUUGGGUAUGGUUAUUUGGGUCAAGAGUGUAAACGGGCUUAGCUGAAUUGUUUCAAUUUUGGGCCUACGGUUUGGGCUUUGUAACCUGGACUGUUUAAAUAAACAAACAUUUAUUUUA